GACGAACGCUGGCGGCGUGCCUAAUACAUGCAAGUAGAACGCAGGUGCGAACGGGUGAGUAACGCGUAGGUAACUGCCUCAUAGCAGGGGAUAACGAGUGGAAACGAUAGCUAAUACCUCAUACUGUGGGAUGGACCUGCGUUGUAUUAGGUAGUUGGUGAGGUAAAGGGUCACCAAGGCGACGAUACAUAGCCGGCCCGAGAGGGUGAUCGGGCAAAACGGGGAUGAGGCCCCGGCCCGAACCCUUCGGGAGGGAGCCGUAGGGGAUCUUCGGCAAUGGACCGAAAUCCUAACCAGGCAAGCCGGGUGAGUUAAGAAGGUUUUCCGGUUGUAAAGCCCUUUUGGUAGAGAAGCGGUAACUAACCAGAAAGCGACGGCUAACUACGUGCCAGCAGCCGCGGUAAUUC
rnacentral:rRNA from 1 species